rnacentral:rRNA from 1 species
AGAGUUUGAUCCUGGCUCAGGAUGAACGCUGGCGGCGUGCUUAACACAUGCAAGUCGAACGGAAGUUUUAAAUGGAAGUUUUCGGAUGGAAAUUUAAAACUUUAGUGGCGGACGGGUGAGUAACGCGUGGGUAACCUGCCGUAUACAGGGGGAUAACACUUAGAAAUAGGUGCUAAUACCGCAUAAGCGCACAGCUUCGCAUGAAGCAGUGUGAAAAGCUCCGACGGUAUACGAUGGACCCGCGUCUGAUUAGCUAGUUGGUGAGGUAGAGGCUCACCAAGGCGACGAUCAGUAGCCGGCCUGAGAGGGUGACCGGCCACAUUGGGACUGAGACACGGCCCAAACUCCUACGGGAGGCAGCAGUGGGGAAUAUUGCACAAUGGGGGAAACCCUGAUGCAGCGACGCCGCGUGAGUGAAGAAGUAUUUCGGUAUGUAAAGCUCUAUCAGCAGGGAAGAAAAUGACGGUACCUGACUAAGAAGCCCCGGCUAACUACGUGCCAGCAGCCGCGGUAAUACGUAGGGGGCAAGCGUUAUCCGGAUUUACUGGGUGUAAAGGGAGCGUAGACGGUUGUGCAAGUCUGAUGUGAAAGCCCGGUGCUCAACGCCGGGACUGCAUUGGAAACUGUAUAACUAGAGUGCAGGAGAGGUAAGCGGAAUUCCUAGUGUAGCGGUGAAAUGCGUAGAUAUUAGGAGGAACACCAGUGGCGAAGGCGGCUUACUGGACUGUAACUGACGUUGAGGCUCGAAAGCGUGGGGAGCAAACAGGAUUAGAUACCCUGGUAGUCCACGCCGUAAACGAUGAUUACUAGGUGUCGGCAGGCAAGGCCUGUCGGUGCCGCCGCAAACGCAAUAAGUAAUCCACCUGGGGAGUACGUUCGCA